AUGCUUGGUUUCCUCCCGCCCUUUGCGCAAGGUGCGACAAUGUGGAUGAAGCGCGUGUUGCAUCUUAAAAAAUCCAUGUUCUUGCUGGAGCUACCUACUGCUUCAAUGGCUAUCUGUAAUCUCAGACAGGCUCUUCUAAAGAUUCAUGGUGCCGUGGUUGAACUUCAGAGCAUUUCAAGCACGGCAUGUCUCUCACUGAAGAAGGAAGGUAUAUACCCAUAUGAUCCAGACUCAGACUCAAGCUGUGGGUUUGAAAGCUUGGUUCGCUCUCGCCCUUUGCGUCAUCGGCGCAACAGGUCAUCUAGUAGUUUGGCGGAGCCACCGCCCGGCGACCAUGGGCACUUGCCCGGGCUUGCGAGUCACGCGCGCCCUAUGAUGGCCCCCGAUACAUCAGGGAAAAUUGUCAACGCAUCUGGGGUUACCCGGGCAGCUGGGCUAGUUGUGCUUCAUUAA
rnacentral:rRNA from 1 species